rnacentral:rRNA from 1 species
AUUGAAACACCGGUUCUUGUAUGAUCAAUGAAGUUAAGUAACAUCAAGCCUGGUCAGUACCUAGAUGGGUGACCACUUGGGAAUACCAGGUACUGUAAG